rnacentral:rRNA from 1 species
ACGAACGCUGGCGGCGUGCUUAACACAUGCAAGUCGAACGAGAAUCUGUGGAUCGAGGAUUCGUCCAAGUGAAGCAGAGGACAGUGGCGGACGGGUGAGUAACGCGUGAGGAACCUGCCUUUCAGAGGGGGACAACAGUUGGAAACGACUGCUAAUACCGCAUGAUACAUUUGGGUGGCAUCAUCUGAAUGUCAAAGAUUUAUCGCUGAAAGAUGGCCUCGCGUCUGAUUAGCUGGUUGGUGAGGUAACGGCCCACCAAGGCGACGAUCAGUAGCCGGACUGAGAGGUUGACCGGCCACAUUGGGACUGAGAUACGGCCCAGACUCCUACGGGAGGCAGCAGUGGGGAAUAUUGGGCAAUGGGCGCAAGCCUGACCCAGCAACGCCGCGUGAAGGAAGAAGGCUUUCGGGUUGUAAACUUCUUUUAAGAGGGAAGAGCAGAAGACUGUACCUCUAGAAUAAGCCACGGCUAACUACGUGCCAGCAGCCGCGGUAAUACGUAGGUGGCAAGCGUUGUCCGGAUUUACUGGGUGUAAAGGGCGUGCAGCCGGGAAUGCAAGUCAGAUGUGAAAUCCAUGGGCUUAACCCAUGAACUGCAUUUGAAACUGUAUUUCUUGAGUACUGGAGAGGCAAUCGGAAUUCCUAGUGUAGCGGUGAAAUGCGUAGAUAUUAGGAGGAACACCAGUGGCGAAGGCGGAUUGCUGGACAGCAACUGACGGUGAGGCGCGAAAGUGUGGGGAGCAAACAGGAUUAGAUACCCUGGUAGUCCACACUGUAAACGAUGAAUACUAGGUGUGCGGGGACUGACCCCCUGCGUGCCGCAGUUAACACAAUAAGUAUUCCACCUGGGGAGUACGAUCGCAAGGUUGAAACUCAAAGGAAUUGACGGGGGCCCGCACAAGCGGUGGAUUAUGUGGUUUAAUUCGAAGCAACGCGAAGAACCUUACCAGGGUUUGACAUCCUGCUAACGAAGUAGAGAUACAUUAGGUGCCCUUCGGGGAAGCAGAGACAGGUGGUGCAUGGUUGUCGUCAGCUCGUGUCGUGAGAUGUUGGGUUAAGUCCCGCAACGAGGGCAACCCCUAUUGUUAGUUGCUACGCAAGAGCACUCUAGCGAGACUGCCGUUGACAAAACGGAGGAAGGUGGGGACGACGUCAAAUCAUCAUGCCCCUUAUAUCCUGGGCUACACACGUAAUACAAUGGCGGUCAACAGAGGGAUGCAAAGCCGCGAGGCAGAGCGAACCCCUAAAAGCCGUCCCAGUUCGGAUCGUGGGCUGCAACCCGCCCACGUGAAGUCGGAAUCGCUAGUAAUCGCGGAUCAGCAUGCCGCGGUGAAUACGUUCCCGGGCCUUGUACACACCGCCCGUCACACCAUGAGAGUCGGGAACACCCGAAGUCCGUAGCCUAACCUUUUAGGAGGGCGCGGCCGAAGGUGGGUUCGAUAAUUGGGGUG